CAGAACCUAGCUUUCCUGCCUGCCCCCAGGGCUAAUCCAGAGGUGGGGGAGGGGCUAAAGACAGUGGGCUCUGCCAGGGGCCUUGGAUGAGCUUAUCAUGGAACAUAAGAAAAAUAAAACAGAUGUCAGCCUGUGUAUGAAGAAUUCAUCCACAAGAUUUGCUCACUCUUCAAUUAUUUCCCGAGCAAAACCAAGAAUCUUCUUGGGCUAAGCCCCAAUUUGGGGUUCACCUGCCUUGCAGCAACAUGGCACCAAACAUGGGGCAGAAGAGAGAAAACGACAGCAUGAGAGACGGAGAAAGAAAUGGCAGUUGGCAAGGUGGUAAUGAGAGACAGCAGUUGGCAAGACAGUGAGAGACAGCAAGAGAUGGCAAGUGACAGUUAUUGUUAAGAUGACAAAUGGAGAGAUGGCAAGAAAUAGAGAAGCAGUCAGUGAUGGAGGCUGCAAGAGUUGUAACACUAACCAAAGGCUCUUUUUAGAAUCAUCAUUUUCCCUGGCAGGUGGUACAGCCAAGCAGACAGGCAAGUGGCCAUACUGCUGCUGCCUCAUGUAGGAUCCGGCAGGCUGGUGGGUUAUCAGUCCUCACGUGGGACCCUCCCACCAUGGCAGCUGAGCACAUCCAAGCUGGGGGAUCCUGAAGAGACCUUCACCUGGGUGCCACGUGGAAGAUUGGCCAGCACCAUUUUGACUCCUGUGGAUGGUUCCAGGUAAAGACAAUCCUUGCACAAGGCUUCCAACUCGACCCACCUACUGACCUGGAGAAUGAAAGUGUCCUGCCUCGGGGCCCCUCAGAUCAGCACCCAAACUGCACCUGGUCACCUGUCUACAUUCAGAUUUGGAUGAAAGCCACACCAUGGAGGCAGCCAGAGGCCCAUGGGAGAUGUCUGGAUUCGCAGAGCAAUAGCUCCAUGUGAUGCAAACCUUGACUAAUGGGAACAGGAAAAGGGAGGAAACCAGGAAGAUAAAUCUCCCUCCCUUCUCAUUGCUCCUUGCAACCCUUCCCACUUGAAGCAUGACCACAUUUAAUGAACAACCUGCUGUGUCUCUUGGAAGCUUGCUGCAAGGCAGCAAUCAGCACAAUAACAUUGUACUGUAUCUUCCUCUGCUUCACUUCUCUUCCUCCCUCACCCUCACUGCCCUGAGCUGGCACAUCCCAAAGAAAGCAUUACCACAUUAA